GUUUGGUGAGACAAUUUAAUCAGGCAACUAUUAUGAUUAUACAACUUUAACAAUAUAUAUUUUUUCAUCUUGCACUGGAUUUCUAUAGAAUUCAUUCAAACUAAUUCUGUAGAAAUGUUUAUGAAUCAAAAGGCAAAGAUGAGAUCAAGAAUUACAAGGAAUUACUAUCACUUCUGCAAGUAUUAUUGGUACUCUGCUCAUCUUCUUCUUGAAGGACUACAGGAUCAAAAUGGUCCCAGCUGAUCAUUAUCAAAUUCAGUUCAUCUUAGUGGCAUCUGGAGAUAUUUGCAUGGAGUGGAUGUGAUGUGAUUCCCUGAAGGAGAAACAAUAUGACACCAGAAAAGAGGGAGAAAGAAGACACUAGGAAGGGCAUGGCUCACUUCUCACGCACACUAGCCAGAAAAGGAGGUGCCGAAAUAACCUAAAGAGGCUGUGCAGCCUGGCUGGAAGAGAGAAGAGAAGUUCAGCAAGUUUAGUGAGAGCGGCUGUUCCUGUGAGAUUUCCAGCCGAAGGGCCUUAACCAGGAUGACACUAAUUCUGCAGAUCUCAUUCUCCUCAUUUGUGAAACUCAGAAAAGUUUCAGGUAUGCUAUCAAAACAACAUUGUCAGAAGACAGAAGAGAUGGGGGUGUGGAGGUGAAGAUUUGCCAUUUCCUCACAUGGUGGGGCUUGUUCCUCCAACUAACAAGUCUGAGAUUGCAGGAACAGAAGAAAAAUGAGCUACUUAGUGAACCAAGUGUCAAUAGUAUAACACCUGGGAGAAGAGACAGUGGGAAUGGGAGACGGAUCUAGCUUGGUAAUCACUGAUGAUUUUGUCACCUAAUCCUGAAAAAAACUAUCUUCAGUUUGGGCUAACUGAUGGAAUCUGGUCCUGUGAAGAUUUAAAAGAAAACAUAGGUAGUGGACUGCAGUACUUGGGAGCGUCUCUGCCUACUACAUUUGUCAAGAGGAUAUUGUUGGGCUUGGUUUCUAUUUUAUGCAAACAUUGAUGGGAUAUUAUUUCAGAUGAUGGGCAUUGAGCCUACUCUGUAAUUUGGGGAUGUGCUAGAAUUUGUCUCUUUUAAGAUUGAGUGCAGAUAUUGUUUUAUAAACUGUGGAUAAUCAAGCAAUAAUUAAUUAAUUAAUAAUGAAUAAAUGGGAGAUCAGCUCUUCUCCAAUAAGGAACUGAACCAGUAUUAGCCUGAUGUGGACUGAUCAAAUGUCACCUGUACUAUGUAUUCCAGCUAAAAACAAAAGAAGCACUUUCUUGAGUUUUAAAAAUAAAUUACUAUCUCAGUCCUUAUGUAAAUUCUUACAGUUUCAAUGGAUUUGAGGGAAUUACAAGAUUAAUUCUGUUAUUUGAAGAUACACAGCAGUAGAAAAGUAUCUGGAGUUUGUGUUAAUUUAUCUAACAAUAUGUUACGGCAAAAUUCUUACCUGUUUGGUAUUGAUGGUGUUUAAGAAUCUAGAAUCCAUAUUCUAGAUUCUAGAAUAUAGACUGUGUCCUAAAUGUUUACUUAGGUAUAGGUACCUCUGAAUUACAAACUUAAAUCCUACAGGUGUCACAGAACAGGUCCAUAGAUCUGAGUCUACACUGACCUGAAAGUAGGUGCCAUAAAAGGCCUGGAAUUGAAAAUACAAUCCUUCAUGAUUCUUCAUGAUUAUUUUUGUAUGUUAGGUGCAUCCUUGAAACUGAAUCUAAUCACUGCUGGGAAAGAGGAAAUUUUGUUUAUAGCAUAUAUUAAAGAUUCUCUGUGUAACAGAGUUUGUGGUUCUUAAGCCUUUGACCCUCCCAUUUACUUUGCUAGGGGUAAAUUCAGACAGGAAUUUUUGUCUGCUACAGAGUGGCAGGAACAAUCAGAAAUUAAGACCAUCCACAACAUUCUAGACUCUCCAGAUUAAACCUGAUGCAUAUUUUGCAGGAACAAAAGUACGAGUAAGUGUUAAAAUUAAUUACUAAUACUACUGGAAUUUAUCAUAUUAAUAGAAUAAACUAAUUAAAUUAUUCUAGUAAUAAUGAAGAUAUUCUAGCAUAUGACAUUGUCUUACAGUUCAUGGGGCUUGGCAUAUUGGAGAAUGAAGCCAAAAAAUGUACUUCAGAAUACUUUGGAAGCAUGACAUAUGCAGAACAUCAUAUUCAUGCUGUAAAGCUUAUCUGAUAUCUCCAAAAGAUUUCUAGGAACUGUGUUCCUGGGUAUAUAAAGGUGUUAAAAAUCUUCUUCUGAUACUAAGAUAUCUGGAAGAAGGGGAAAGUUCAGGGACUCAAGAAGACAGACAGGGUGAUUAACCUUGGCUGCCAAGAGUGAUUUGGAGUCUUUUGAAGACUCAUUCUGAGAAAUAAACCAUACUGAUUUGAUUAGAUUAAAAAGGUCUGACAGAUUAAUUUAAAGCAAUCUAUACCAACCUUAUUGGAUGAAAAGGUGACAUGUAUUCUGGAAUAGGACCUGUAUUAGAUAAAGAGGCAGGUGAAAUGACCUGAGUAGUUUAAUGAGGCUCUCCAAUCCUUCUGUAUGUGUUCCUCAAGUAGAUGAUGAUUGCCUGCCUGAUAAACUAGAUUUGCACAUAAAUUCUUCAUUGCUUUAUGAAUUGAUUUCUCGGUAUCUUUUACUGUUCUAUGCAGAUAACUAACAUUGUGACAAAUGGCUGUGAACUUUUUAGACCUGUCAUUGUCCCAGAGAAAGCAUGGGUAGAGGUUCUUCCCUGAAGUCAGACUAGCAGAAAUUAUCUCAAAGACCUGCAGCCUCAAUUUCCUCCUGGAUGGAGGGAAAAUAUAGGCUUCUGUAACAAAAAGAAAAUGGUAGUAUUUCAAGAUUUAAGACUUAGAAAGGACCACUGAAAGACACACAAAUAGAUUAAAGGUGCAUUAAACUCAGAAACUGUUAAAGAAGUACUCUGGGACACACCCAUCCAUGAGGAUUUUUUGGAAAGAAAGGAUUUUGGAAGGAGGUAAGAUAAAACAAGGGUUAGAUGGCUGAAUGUUCUGAAUGUGCCUCCCAGUUUUUAUAGAAUGAUAUAACUGAACUGUGUUUAACUCAGUUUAAAUUUUUACUUUGUGGUUGACCUUUUCCAGAUUAAUGACACAGUUUCAGUGGUAGGACACAGGAGAUUUGCCAGUUGAAGUGAUUAAGUAAAAACAUUAAGAGAAACUAUAUAUAUUGUUGCCUAGCAGAGAACCAAAACAUUUUUUUCAUGAAAGCCACAUGAACUUAUUUUCCAGGUCUUAAAAAUGGCUGUGCAUGGGACAUCAAUAGAAAGGAACUGGCAGAGAGAAGUGAUUUGUAGUAGUUGCACUUUGGAUGGUGAUGAUAAUUAUUACAAUAUCCCCAAAUACUUCUCAUAUGAAAUAUAUAUAUAUAUAUUUGAAAAAUAGUGCCAGAGUAUUAAGGUCACACUCCAGCUAGAUACCUUGAAACAUUCUUCGCUACUGAGUUUAAUUACUGUCUCUUUCAGAUCUUUCUACCAAUUUCCAGAUGUUACCUUAAAUCUGAUAUAGAUAAAUGAAGGCUCUUAAUCUUUUCCCUGUUAAUCCCUUUUACCUUCUCUGUAGUCAAUAUGAAUAACACCAAUCUGCUUGCUCAGUCCCAGACCCUUGGCAUAACCUUUGGGUUGGGAUUUAUUCCAGACUUCCACAUCCAGGUUCCAUCUGCGUCUUUGCCCUCUGAGGCCUCCAUUCUGGGCUGGGAUGAAUCUGUCUCUGAACACGUCUGUCUGUGCACCCUAAUUAUACCUAGACAACAAAAGCAUAUAGUUUGGGUUAGAUUAAUUUUUAGUGGACCAUAGAUGAAUAAAGCAAAUGUCCAUAUGAGAUAAUGAAGGUGAUGAUAAUCAAAGAUUUAGCGACAUGAAAUAAUAGCAAAACAUGGAAUACAAGAGAUGAUCUGGUGAAGGAACUUUUAGGAACAUUUUGAAAGUCUAGGCAACAAUAUUUGGUUUUAUUCUAUCACGAGUUGAUAACUUUCUCUCUUUUUUAAUUAAAAAAAAAAAAAAAAAGAAACACAUAUCCACAAUUUUUGAUCCUACCUCUGGAUUCAGCUCCCAAACUCUGGAAACACCAAACAACUCUUUAGAACAGAAUGCAUGUGUUGGAGGAAUACGUGGAGAAAAGAAGUAAACUUAAGUGUGAGUAUUCAAAAAACACUGCAGCAUUUACACUAGACAAGGAAUGGGGACAGUAAAUAAAAACUAAGUUGGAGGAUCUUGCUAACUUUUGCUAGUAGAGGGAAUGAGCUGAAUGUGGCAGUUCAGAUUUUCUUCAGUUCUCAAAGACUUUGAACUGUGAGAGUAGUUCACCACCCCUGUAGAGUAGGAUGUGUUAAUGCCCUAGUAAGCAGAUUUGGUAUCCUAUUGCUUCUGAAUCAAUCAAUUUUGUAAAAUACCAGGGCAAUUCCUUCCUUUAGGUGACACUGGAAGCUAAUAGUCUUUUAAUAGAAACAUUUUAUUUUUGAAAUAUGAAAUCAUUUGGUAUAUGAACUGAGUAUCUGUUCAUUUCAUGUUUAUGACAAACAAGGACUGAAAUUACGUGUGAAAGAGAGAGGGGAAUUUGCUUGUGUAUUGUAUUGUAUUGUAAUUUGCUUGUGUAUUGUAUUUUAAAUGCUCUAUUAUAUUUCUGUGUGAAAAGAAAAGGGCUUAUAAUAAUAUUUUUUAAUUUUUUAAUUCUAUGUAAAUGAUAAAAAUAUAAACUUCUUUCUUAAGCAAGAAUUACUCAGUUAACUUGUCCUUUCAUUUCUUUGAAACUUGAUUCCAACCAAGACCAUCUGUCCUUUCCUAAAGGUUUUCAAGUAGCUAAAGUAGCUUCCUCUUUUUUUAUUAUUAUUUUUUUCCUUUUUUUUUGUUUUGUUGGGUUGUUUAUAUUUAAAAAAUAUUUUGAUAUUGGUGCAUUUAGCAGACUGAAAAUACAGUUGUUGUAUCCCCCAUAAAGGUAACUAUAGAAUAUGUACAUGCAAGGAAUGUAUUUAAGAAUUAUAUUUAGUCUGCACCAGGAAUAUAUCUAGUGCACAAUCAUGUAUCUUGUGAAUGAGUGUUGUAAUUCCUCCUCAAAUGGAAUUCUUUCUUCUUGAAAAUUGCCACUUCAAUGUAAGCAAAAGUAAUUGUAGGCUGGUGGAGCCAGAGAAUUCAAUUUCAUUAACACCAAAGCUAUAAAUAUGAGGUAUCAGUUUGUAUUUGCAGAUUAUUUUUUGUUUUGCUUGUGUGGAUUACACUUAAAAUUAAAAAGGAUUUUUAUUUAUUUGAAAGAGGCUGUGAAUGUUAUUAUGUAGAUUACCUGAAUGAAUACAAUUUAUUUAGGCAGACAAGUAACGUACAUUUAUCUUGUGUUUCCAGAUAUUUUCCU